rnacentral:rRNA from 1 species
UACGGAGGAUCCAAGCGUUAUCCGGAUUCAUUGGGUUUAAAGGGUGCGUAGGCGGAAUGAUAAGUCAGUGGUGAAAUCCUGCAGCUUAACUGCAGAACUGCCAUUGAUACUGUCAAUCUUGAGUACAUUUGAUGUGGGCGGAAUGUGUCAUGUAGCGGUGAAAUGCUCAGAUAUGACACAGAACACCGAUUGCGAAGGCAGCUCACAAAACUGUAACUGACGCUGAGGCACGAAAGCGUGGGUAGUCAAA